AACGAACGCUGGCGGCGUGCUUAACACAUGCAAGUCGAACGCGAAAGGGACUUCGGUCCCGAGUAGAGUGGCGCACGGGUGAGUAACGCGUAAGUAAUCUACCCCGCAUUCGGAAUAACUCGUCGAAAGGUGAGCUAAUACCGGAUACGUUUAUCUUGAUGCGAAUGAUGAUAAAGAAAGGUGGCCUCUUCAUGAAAGCUACUGUGCAGGGAUGAGCUUGCGUACCAUUAGCUAGUUGGUAGGGUAAUGGCCUACCAAGGCGACGAUCCGUAGCUGGUCUGAGAGGAUGACCAGCCACACUGGGACUGAGACACGGCCCAGACUCCUACGGGUGGCAG
rnacentral:rRNA from 1 species